CAUGUCAGGCUGUGUCCACCAUGACCUGGACUCCUCUCCUUCUCCUGCUUCUCUCUCACUGCACAGGUUCCCUCUCCCAGCCUGUACUGACUCAGCCACCUUCCUUCUCUGCAUCUCCUGGAGAAUCUGCCAGACUCACCUGCACCUUGUCCAGUGACAUCAGUGUUGGUAGCUACAACAUAUACUUGUAUCAGCAGAAGCCAGGGAGCCCUCCCAGGUAUCUCCUGUACUACUACUCAGACUCAGAUAAGCACCAGGGCUCUGGAGUCCCCAGCCGCUUCUCUGGAUCCAAAGAUGCCUCGGCCAAUACAGGAAUUUUACUUAUCUCCGGGCUCCAGUCUGAGGAUGAGGCUGACUAUUACUGUAUGAUUUGGCCAAGCAAUGCUUCUCACAGUGACACACACACAUGGGGAAUCUCAGUAAAACAAAACAAAGCCAAAGCAUCUGAUGACCCUGAAGUGUUGGCUGCAUGUCCAUGUGUGCUGACACCAGUGCCUGUGAAGCUGGACUAUUUUUCUUGA